rnacentral:rRNA from 1 species
GACGUAGGAUGCGAGCGUUGUCCGGAUUUAUUGGGCGUAAAGAGUUCGUAGGCGGUUCGUUAAGUCUGAUGUUAAAGACUGGGGCUCAACCCUGGGAGUGCAUUGGAUACUGGCGGACUCGAGUGCAGUAGAGGCAAGCGGAAUUCCCAGUGUAGCGGUGAAAUGCGUAGAUAUUGGGAAGAACACCGGUGGCGAAGGCGGCUUCCUGGACCGAUACUGACGCUGAGGCGCGAAAGCUAGGGGAGCAAACGGG